rnacentral:lncRNA from 1 species
CAAGUUUUUAGCCUGUCUCAGCUUUUGACAUGCCUUCCUUACUAAGCUUCAUCAUUUCUACAUUUUGAUUUAAAUUGAUAGAUGGUGACUUUUCCUUUCACUUGAACACUUAGAGGCCAUUUAGGGUUAUUAAUUGGCCUAAUUUCUAUAUUGUUAUGACUCAGGGAAUAGAAAGGCUCAAAAAGAGGGAAAGAGACAGAAAAAUGGCUGGUUGGUGGAGAAUUUAGUAUACACAGUACAUUUGUUGAUUGUUUGCCAUCUUACAUGGGCACAGUUAAUGGUACCCACAAACAAUUACAAUAGUAACAUCAAAGAUCUCUGAACACAUAUCAUCAUAACAGAUAAAAAAAUAAUUAAAAAGCUUGAAAUAGUAUGACAAUUGCUCAAAUGUGACACAGAGACAUCAAGUGAGCAUGUUUUUGGAAAAAUGGCACUAAAAAAACUGCUUGAUGCAGGGUUAGCACAAAUCGUUAAUUUGUAAAAAAUCAAUAUUUGUAUAUUACAAUAAAGCAAAG